rnacentral:lncRNA from 1 species
GAAGAUUAGUUUCUGUGUGGUUGAUUUGAACUGUUUGUCAUAUUGUAUGCUUCAUCUUGAUUACUAUCAAUUUCACAGGUCAUGUUCAUUGUGAGGAAUGGAGCGCAAUGCCUUGUGGUAACUCUGGGCAGACGAAAAUAGGCCACCUCUCCCAUUUUCUUGAUAUUUAUUUUCUGAUAUCUGACUAUUGUAUUUGUCGUGAAAUUUAAAUUGUAGACACUAACAGAUCAUGUGUCACUUCAUGCUUUGACCAUGUGAAAAAAAUUCAGUGUAUUUACCCAUGAUCGGUGCCUUGCCCCGAGUGGUCUUUAAUUCCUGAAUUAGGCAACGGUGAUUUUUCUUCUUAAUAUAUAGAUGCGCAGCUCUCCCGCGUGUUCGAGAAAAAUGAGGCAACGGUGACACAGCGCUCGUAGAAAGUAGAAAGUGAAGAAGCGGUUUGAGCAUAUUGCUGUUGACAGCUACCUCCGCAAGAUUUGGCCAGUAUCGUGAGCUGAGUUUCACAACCCUGAACCACUUGGUAAAAAACAGUCUGAAUUUUGCGUUGUGAGUAACUAACUAGACAUCCGAAUAAAUUAGUGUACUGAUAUUCUGAAAUUUGUUUUAGCACUGGGACUCUCUGGACUAUCCGGUGGAAUCAGGCCUUGGCAGGACUGAGGCAGAUGUGGGGGGUGACACCGUGCAGGUGAGGUGGUGGCGGUACCUGGCUCUGGCAUCUCCCUUUAUCCGCUUGAUGGAAUGGCAGCAUGGGUAUGGAGACACCAUCAGCAUCUAAACAAGGCCCAAAAGGUACAAAGAUAUGAUUUAAUCACUUUUGAUUUGUUUAUUUGCUAUCAUAUAAAUUGCAGGUCUUGAGUAAUAUGUCAAUGCUAUAAUUUUGCUUGCUUGUUGUGUGUCCUCUCUAAAAUCUUUUCUUUACCAUAUAUAUCCAUACGCACAAGAUAUUUGCAGUUACAAGUAUAAUCCUCAAGGAGUGAAAAGCUUGGGAUUCUGUUCGUGCAGGCAACAGGCAUUGAUUGCUAAUCAGCAUGGCCUCCACAAGUACCCAUCAUAGGAAGUGCAGCAACCAAUAUUGUGUUCAAACCUGAAGAAAAUAUAUGGGGAUGGCUGGGUGGCUGCACAGCUCAUGGCAGGGACCAAUUUGGAGUCUGCAUCUUCUUUCCCACAUAUAUAUGAUAUUUCCAUAUACUGUCAGGAUGCUAUUAAACUGCCUUCACCAGAUUACUAUAAACUGUGAACUUCGGAACUUUAAUUUUCGAUAAGUUGGAGUCGACGCUUAAAACUUCAGAGCUUUAUUUACUCCUAAGUACCAACAGCUCUAAAUUUUUGUGCACUGCACCCUUAGUUUUUAGUGAACAAUACUGACUGCUGAGGUUAUAAUGCAUCUUUCUAUGUGGGACUAAAGUUUUGUCAAGUAAGGCUAUGUACACAUUGAUAAAUCUGCUUCAGAAUAAUAUCGCUGAUACAUUGCAAUCUCACUAUCUGAACAAAAUCAGGUUUAUCAGUUAUUUAUAGUAGACUUGCUUGUUAGAAAGGACCUAAAUAGGUUUUCUUUGUCUAUGUGAAUUUUCGGGGAAUUCUGCUUAUCUUCCAUGGAUAGAUGCUACUUCUCCUGUAAUAUCGAAUUGGGUCAUGUGUGUGUCAGCUCUUUGCUAGCCAAAGGAGCUUGUGACUUGCAACUACUACUGCUUAUUCAAUGAUCUCUAAUAACUGAAUCAUUUUGUUCAGAUUCUAAUUACCAGGUCUUUUCUCAUCUCUUUAUGUUUUGAGGUGUUGGAUGAAAUAGGGUUAAUGGUGUUUGCUACCAUUCUACAAGAAAAUAGGGUUAAAAUAUUCUUGUAUUCCUCAGAUUAUUUGUGUCAUGCAAACUCCACUUUAGAAAAUUCCAUUCUAAAUGGUUGUGUGAGAUUAUGUACCAUUCUAAUAUGAUCUCAUGAGGGGAAUUAUUUAGCCUGUAGCAACGCACGGGCACGAUCCUAAUGGAAUUGAAAAGAAUAGAGAUCGCGAUGAACCACGAGAAUAUCUAGUGUUGGAACGCAAAGCGGAGGGCAAGUACCCAUACAAAAUCUAAUAACUCUGCAACAGCCAUCACUAGCAAGUUGUCAUACACUCAUUAUGGUCUUGGCCACGAGACAUGAGCAAGAGAUGCACAUCAUGAUCUAGGAAGCAGCAGCGCGCGGGUAUGGUCGCAUGGAACAGCCUCUUUGCCCGCGCCGGCCACCCCUUCCACUGCUGCUCAAAAGGUGCUCGACAAAAUGCCACUCCAGGACACUGCCCGCGCCGGCGCGCCUGGGCAGGAAAGAAAACAGGAAAAACUCUGAAAAGGGAGUAGUAAUGCACAGAAACUCACAUUGCUAUUCGAGUUGCCAUGAAACGUUGGGAUGGGUGUAAGUAACGGAUCAUAGAGACUGUCCAUUGUCAACUUGUCAUUAUUAAACAAAACUACUAUUAUUUUCCCUCCUGGCCUCGAGAUGCUAAUGGAUGGCCCAAAACUAAUGCAAGAUGCACAUGCUCUCACAUGGUUGAAGACACGCAGAUCAAGAUGCACAGAUCGAACACAUCUGGACGAACGUGGUUCUAUAUUGCUGUAGUGUAUGCAACCAAUUAAACACAUCCACUUGGCUCCUCCAAAGUCAACGCUCGAAGUCUCCAUUUUCCACAAAAGCAGCAGCUCAAACCAAGCGUCCAGCUUCUCUCUCUCCACCCAGCAACACUGUGUUUCCUGUGUCCUGUCACCUGUGCGUGUGUUUUUGGAUCUCCAGGCGUUGCCAUGGCUGAGGUACUGGCCACCAUGGUGGUCGGGCCACUGCUGUCCAUGGUGAAGGAAAAGGCCUCCAGCUACCUCCUGGACCAGUACAAGGUGAUGGAGGGGAUGGAGGAGCAGCACAAGCUCCUGAAGCGCAAGCUGCCGGCCGUCCUGGACGUCAUCGCCGACGCCGAGGAGCAGGCGGCAAAACACAGAGAAGGGGCGAAAGCUUGGCUGGAGGAGGUCCGGACGGUGGCCUACAAGGCGAAUGAUGUCCUCGACGAGUUCAAGUACGAGGCGCUUCGCCGCAAAGCCAAGGCGGAGGGCCACUACAAGGCGCUCGGCAUGGAUGUAAUAAAGCUCUUCCCUUCUCACAACCGUUUUGUGUUCCGUUAUAAGAUGGCAAACAGGCUCUGCAUGAUCUUGCAAGAAAUUGAUGUCCUCAUCGCAGAGAUGAAUGCAUUCAGGUUCAAAUUCAAACCGCAGCCGCAAAUGCUCAUGCAAUGGAGGCAGACGGAUGCUUGCAUCCCCACUGAGUCUGUGGACAUUGCCAGCAAAUCAAGAGCUCAAGAGACGAAGGAUCUUGUUCAUCAAUUGCUCGAGAGCAGUAAGGAUCGAUUGCUUGCUGGAGCCAGCAGUAAGGAUCUCAUGGUCCUUCCGAUAGUCGGAAUGGGGGGGUUGGGCAAGACCACCUUAGCACAGCUCGUUUACAAUGACACUGAAAUUAAGAAGCAUUUCGAGUUGCGGCUCUGGGUGUGUGUCUCUGAUGAUUUUGAUGUGGAUUCCCUGGCUAACAAAAUAGUGAAAGAGAAUGGUUGUGAAGCAAGUGGAAGUUCAUCAGCACUGGACAAUCUUCAAAAGGCAGUGAGUGGGAAGAGGUACCUCCUCGUAUUGGAUGAUGUGUGGAACCGUGAUGAGCCCAGCAAGUGGGAAAGGUUGAAGUCCUACCUUCAGCAUGGUGGCAGCGGUAGCUCAGUGCUGACAACAACUCGCGAUGAAGCUGUUGCUAAACUAAUGAUGGGUACAACUGAAGGAGCCUAUAAACUUGGAAGCUUGGAUGAAGAGUCCUUAGGGAAAAUUAUCAAGGCAAGAGCAUUCGGUUCAAAACAGCCUGGUGAACUAGUUAACAUGGUUGGUAAAGUUGCCAAGAGAUGUGCUGGUUCUCCUUUAGUUGCUACAGCAUUGGGCUCUUUACUGGGUACCAAGACCAGCAAGCAAGAAUGGGAGGAUGUACUAAAUGGAAGCACGAUUUGUGAUGAGGAAAAUGGGAUUUUACCAGUACUUAAACUAAGUUACAAUUGCUUGCCAUCAUACAUGCGGCAAUGCUUUGCUUUCUGUGCUAUGUUUCCCAAGGAUUAUGAGAUUGACGUGCAAAUGCUAAUCCACUUGUGGAUGGCCAAUGGUUUUAUCCCAGAGCAAUCAAAAGUGUGUCCUGAAACUUUUGGAGAAAGAAUUUUCAUUGAGCUCAAGUCAAGGUCAUUUUUUCAGGAUUUGAAGAAUGUCCCAUUUGAUGACAAAUAUUCUAUUUAUAAAAAUGGCAAUAAGCACAGGUAUUGUUCUAGAAUUACUUGUAAGAUCCAUGACCUUAUGCAUGAUGUUGCACAGUCUGCUAUGGGAGAAGAAUGUGCUGCAAUAGCUACACACCCAAGUGAAAAAGAGGAUGUUCUUCGUUCAGCUCGUCACUUGUAUUUGUCAAUCCGUCAACCACAAACUCUUCUGAAUGCUUCCCAAGAGAAAGGAUCUCCAGCUUUCCAAACACUGAUUUGUGACGGAUAUGUAGGAGAUUUGAAGAUUUUAUCAAAAUACAACUCUAUAAGAGCUUUAAAGAUCGUGUGUGGUUCAAUCUUAAGGCCGAAAUAUCUUCAUCACCUGAGGUAUCUUGAUCUCUCAGAAAGUUUCUUUGAAGCACUUCCUGAAGACAUUAGCAUCCUAUAUCAUCUGCAAACACUGAACCUUUCUUACUGUGACCGGCUUAAACGGCUUCCAAAGCAACUGAAGUAUCUGACUGGCCUCCGUCACCUCUACACUCACGGAUGUGGAAAGUUGAAAAGCAUGCCCCCAGAGCUCGGACGCCUAACUUCCCUACAGACGCUUACAUACUUUGUAGCAGGUGCCGAUGGCUCUGGUUGCAGUAAUUUGGGAGAGCUGCAGAAUUCGGACCUUGGUGGUACACUGAAGCUAAGCAAGCUAGAAAAUGUGACAGGAGCAGAUGCACAAGCAGAUGCAGAAGCAGCAGGUCUUGGAAAAAAGAAAAAACUGACCGAACUGGAGUUAUGUUGGACCGAUAGUGACCAGGAAGCACAGAAUAAUAAUCAUAAAGAGGUGGUGGAAGGUCUCAAACCUCAUGAUGAGUUGAAGGCUCUGAGGAUAAAUCACUGUGGGAGCAGAACUUUUCCAACGUGGAUGAAUACUUUGAAAGGCAUGGUGAACCUGAAAUUAUUCCAUUGCAAAAAGCUCGAAGAGCUUCCUGCACUCUGGGAGCUACCAGCUCUGCAAAUUCUUGGCCUGGAGGGUUUGGAGAGUUUACAUUGUUUGUGCAGCGGUGGUACUACACUCUGGGAGUUCACAUUUCCAAAACUGAAGGUGCUUACCUUGUUAGAAAUGGCAAAAUUUGAGGCAUGGUGGGAGACACAUGAGGUACAAGGAGAAGAGCCGAUAUUUCCCAAGGUUGAGGAGCUGGAGAUUAAGGAGUGUAAAAGUUUGACUGCAUUACCAAAAGCAGCGUCGGUGAUUACAGAAUUGUCUGGCGGAGUUAACACUAAGUGCCGCUCUGCAUUUCCAGCAUUAAGGAAAAUGACGCUAGGUGGGUUGAAUAUGUUUGAAAGAUGGGAGGCAGGCGAAGGAACUCCAGGAGAAGAGGUAACAUUUCCUCAGCUCGAGGAGCUGUCAAUCUGGUCUUGUGGCAGCCUGAGUGCAUUAUCAAAAGGGCCAUUAUUGGCUAAGCAACCAUUUGGCGGAGCUGAAACUGCAACCGUUUGUCAUUAUAUUAAGAAGAAAAUACCGUUUUGGUACAACGCACGCACACGGCCUACCAGCCGCUCUGCAUUUCCAGCACUGAGAAAACUAAGAUUAUCUGAUUUGUCGGCCCUUGAGAGGUGGGGGGCAGCCGAAGGAACUCCAGGAGAAGAGGUAACAUUUCCUCUGCUGGAAGAUUUGGAAAUUCGUGGCUGCCCGAAGUUGACUGAUCUACCUGAAGCACCCAAUCUAAGUGAAUUAUCCAUGAGAAAAGGUUGUUAUCAGCAGCAAAUAUCCCUACAGGCAGCUAGCAGAUUCAUCCCUUCAUUGUCCCGUCUGGGUCUGGAUGUGUCACCCGAUGACACAGAAACAACAUUACUGAAUGUCAAGAAGAAAUUGAAUGGUACACUCGCCUUGGCAGCUAUGGGGUUAGGUCGGUGCGACCUUUUUUUCUCCUCCCGCUCAAGCGCACUGGCGCUAUGGACAUGUUUUGCACAGCUAGUAGAUUUGGAGAUUCGGUAUUGCGAUGCUCUUGUCUACUGGCCAGAAAACGUGUUCCAGGUCCUGGUAUGCCUGAGGAACUUAAAGAUUUCCAGAUGCAUCAAACUGACAGGAUGCACACAAGCUUCUGAUGAGCAAUCUGCUCCAGCUUCACAACAUGGUGGACUCCUGCCAUGCCUGGAGUCUCUAGAGAUAGAAAAUUGUGAAUCUUUGGUAGAGGUCCCCAUCCUGCCGGCAUCUCUCAAGAAAUUAUAUAUUCGCAGCUGCAGUAGUAAUGUCGGGUCCAUCGUAUUUGGUCACCCGGAGGAUACGAGAUUGCUGAGUGCAGAAGGUGUUGUACGGCCGAAGACGUCAUCAUUAAUUCCAGGGUGCAACAGCAGUGAGGCCACAGCGUCUACAGCUGUACUGAAGCUGUCAUCUGCAGCCAACCAUCACUUCCUUCCAUUUCCAUGCCUAGAAUCUCUAUAUAUAGAUUAUUGCAGUGGCUUGUCAGAGGUUGCCAAUCUUCCUCCGUCUAUCAAGACCUUGUACAUUUGUGAGUGCGGCAAGCUUCAAUCCUUUUCAGGAGACCUCCGGUUGCUGGAAGAACUCACGCUUUGUCGAUGCAAAAGACUGGUAUCCUUACCGGAUGGGCCUCAAGCAUACUCAUCUCUUAGAGUUCUUCGGAUAAUACAGGAUGGUAUAAAGUUGCUUCCACCAAGCCUACAUAGCCGUUUGGGUUACCUCGAGGUUAAAAGACUAGAUGACCGUCACGAAGGUAAUCUCCAGUUUCUUUGUUUCUUUUAACAAAAUGAUCAGGAGCUUAAUUGUUGUUGCCUAAAAUGCAACUCUGUGCUUAAACAUUCUGUUACCUAUUACAAGAUGUGGUAGGAUUCAGUGAUAAAAAUUUAACGAGCGCAAUAUUUUGAACCUUUUUAGCCAAUUGUUGUUGAUAUAUACAUUAUAUCGAGUACAAUGCACCACUAAUACCUAUAUUUAUGUGCACUUGUGUCAGUUAAAUCCAUUAACUUUCAUAUAUUGCACAUACGGGGUAUCUAAACACUUACAGCUGGAUCAAGAAGUUUAUACACCAAUAUACACUUCACUUUACUGUAGUCAUCCUUGUAUAUCUCCUUUUUGUCCGUACAAAGAAUUUAACUAUAAGAUGAUCUUUGUGGUUCGCUUUUGAUACCUUGGUUGUAAACUUGUAUUUGCUAACUCGAAUCAUGUAAUAAAAUCAAUCAUUUUCCUUUAGUCGUAUUUAAAGCAGCAUGGCAUCAUGGAAUUAUUGCAGCCGAAUUCACUAGCUCCAAUUAAAGUGGCACUUGUCUUGGCGUUUCUCUGGAAAUUCAGUAGCUCCAUUGCAUACAGUUCAAGUAUGUGUAGUUUUGUUUUCAUGGCUUAUGCCUUUUGACAUAAAUAAUAAUUUUCUUUUGAAACAUUUACUAUUGGGUGCCACAGCAUAUUCUCCUGUGUAUAUAUACUUUCUAACAUCAUCUAUGAUCAUGGCCUGAUUGCCAGAACCAACCUGGAAACGUUCAAUCAGGAAGCUGGUGUGCUCGAAAUAGUAGAUCAAGGCCUGACCAAAGAAAAAGUUAUUCAAGGUAUUUUUGCAAAGAUAUCACUAAGGUUUUUAAUAUUAGUGUUCUUGAUGAUUGAUUUGAAAUGAUGCUAGCUCCUAAUGCUGACUUUCUAUGCGCUGUGACUUCCUUGUAGGAUCGUGCCAGAAACGAAGACCUUUAUUUUGAGCAGAAGCGAAGUUCUAGACUGCAAGCAGAAGAAUUUAGCAUACAGAGCUGCGGGCUCCAGUCUUUUAUCCUUAUUUUUAUUUCUUUUGAGCCAUGACGUGUUUGCAUUCGUGUCUGCUUCAGCCUCCAACACAAGCGAAACACAGGCAGCACUUUCAUUUUAUGAUUUGUUUAUCCACAUACAUGACCGACUGCCGUAGAGUAGACCAACAGUCCAACGUACUCAUGUAGCUCGACAAGCUAUCCAAGCUGCUGCUUUAUAUGAACUGAAAGUGCUGAAUUUUCUCCUGCAUCCUGGAAGGCUUUGGAUGGCACGGUCUUGUGCAGAGGUCUCAUUGUUGUUAACCUGUUUCUUCAAAACUGCAUGUACAGCAACAUUUUCUCCUGGCAGUGCUGCAAUGGAAUUGAAAAGAAUGGUGAUUCUUAUUAUAGUAUAAUUGUGAUGUAUAGGCUGGGACGCAAAGCGAUGAAUGUACAUGCAUGAGCAAGGAAGAAGGGGAUGGAACAGAACAGAGCAAGAACGAACUGCCAGAGCAAGAAGAUGAACGUUAUCUGUAUAGAUAAAAAAUUUUAAUAAAAAUUUUCAUGAGUUAUCCUUUGUCUGGGGCUACAGUACCAAUCCUGCAUUUCGAAUUUGGGACUGCCCUCCUUCAUGGUGUGAUCCAAAUUUCAACAAAAAUUAUCGUAGUGUGGCUACGGUUGUUUCAUACGAUAACUGUCAAUGACACGGUGGCACAUGCAGCUGCGCACGUAGGACAGAACCGCCAACUCACCCCGCCACGUCAACUCCUCUCAACAGCGAUGCUCCCCAAGCGAGCAGAGCAGCGAAGCCCGCCUCGAAAUCUCCGCCACCCCCAUCGAACUUGCCACACGCCACCACCACGGGAUCUCCCUCCACAGUCUCCGCUCCCACUCCCCCGCCACAGCCAUGGCCGCCGCCGCAGCAGCGCACUCCCUCCUGCACCCACCGGCGGCCCGCAAGGCCCCCACAAGUUCUUCCUCUCCUUCCCCUUCCCCAUUCCUCCGCCUCCCGGCCCCCGCGCGCCCGCGCCUCCCGCUACGCCUCCGCUCCACCUCCCCGGCCGCCGCCUCCGACCUCACCGACUUCCCCAACCCGAACGGCAUCCUCGCGCCCAUCGACGUGGACGCCGCCACGGAGGCGGAGCUUCGCGAGAACGGGUUCCGGAGCACGCGCCGCACCAAGCUCGUCUGCACCGUGGGCCCGGCCACCUCGUCGCCCGAGCAGCUCGAGGCGCUCUCCGUCGGCGGGAUGAACGUCGCCCGCCUCAACAUGUGCCACGGGGACCGGGAGUGGCACCGGGGCGUCAUCAGGGCAGUCAGGAGGCUCAACGAGGAGAAGGGCUACGCCGUCGCCGUCAUGAUGGACACCGAGGGCAGCGAGAUCCACAUGGGGGACCUCGGCGGCGCCUCAUCGGCCAAGGCGGAGGUGAGGUGCUGUGCUUGUAUGUAAGCUGCUGUCCAGUUUUGGACUUGGCGUUGCAGUUUUCAGUUUUCAGAUUGUACGCCUUCACUUGAACGUAUUCCGUGAAAUGUGCUUGUGCAAUGUGGAUGAGAGGAACGGGUGGUGGCAGUGGCAGUGUCAGGCAUUGCCGUUUCAUACUUCUGCAAAACCUAGCGAGUCAGGAUUUCACCAAAAUGUUUUUUUUCCAUCUUCAAAAUGGCUCAGUUGAUUUAGAUUUUCAGCUCAUGUUUGAAAUUGCUAUAGAAGGAGAAUCAUUCAGAAUUUCAGAUUGUCAUCAAACACUGGAUUGUGAAAGUGGUAAUCAUUUUCAAGGCUUUCAAUCUUUCAAAAAAAAAUCAAGGCUUUCAGUAUCAGUGCAACUCAAAUAAAGUGCAUGGUAAACAUCACCAUGUUUUGGCUUUCUCUGCAUAUAAGACAGGGUGCUGGAGUGGUUCGACCGCGUUGAGGUCCCAAUCCAACCGGUCGGGUUUUUUUCUAGGUGUCAAGUUUGAGUGCUUACCCGUAUUGACAUCCCAAUCCAACCGGGCGAGUCUUGUUUAUUUUUCGUUUCUUUUCCUUUUCCUGCCUAUGGCCUCCCAGGGCUGUAGUCUUGUAUUUUCUGCUAUAUCAAUACAAACUCGCACUAUCUUGUGCGGUUCGUUCAAAAAAAAAGUGAUAGGCAUUGAGGUUCUGAAGGUUGUUUUUUAGAUCUUAGGCCCAAGCCUCAAAUGGCUUUUUUCCCCCUGUUGCAAACCUUCCUUUAAGUAUUGCAUCUAGCACCGGGGAAAACACAGGAAUAUCUUUCAUUUCAGCAACAGAAUCUCUUAUAAAAAGGGCGUACCCAGUGCGAAAGCUCCCACACAAGGUGGGGUCUGGGGAAGGGAAUUCCUAGACAACCUUAUCCUUGCAAUAUUCUUUUAAAAUUCUGCAAAGAGGCUGGUUCGAACCCAGGACCUCCGGGCCACAAGUGGAGAGUUUAAUUUGAAUUAGCUUUAUUAGUAGAAUGCUUGGCCCAUUUAUUGGUAAAUGGUAAAAUUCAUAAAGAUUAUCCUUAUUCCGUUAAUCAAUUUUAGGUGUUUAACUUGCAGCAAAUUCGAACAAUGACAGACAUGCAGCAUAUUGUUAGUUCAUCUGUAAGACUUAGCUUGCUGGUUUAAUGCUUUGUUAAAGGUUUGAAGUUAAUGUGUCUACUGGUAGCUACUGAAUCUCUUUAUAGUUUAUUUAUAUCUUUUUUCUUUAUUAGUAUAAAGCCAUGUAGAAGUUUUCAGAAUACUGAAAUUUCUAGUGUUCGUUUUGUGGAGUCUCUCCACCUACAUCCUUUUUUACAACUGCAUUUCAGAUCCUUCAGUUAUAGCAUGAAUAUUUUUUAAAAAAGAAACUUCUAGGUAUAUUCUUGCCCGUAGUUAAUGUUAGUGUCUGAUGAUAGUUGUGUUUUAGAUAAUACAUUAAUAUUAGUAAUCCAAAGAAACUGAACUACUUCUAUGAUUCUAACUGUCAUCAGUGCUAGCUAGGGUCACUAUGCCAAAAGGAGAUUAUAUCACCAUUCGGCUGUUUAUCUUAAGUUUUUAACCAUACAGUCAGAAGUUUGAUUGUACACCUAUUCAAUAAUCCUAGGUUUUCUUGAGCCACGUUAUUUACCCAAUGACUUCCAUUUUUCUUGGAAUUAAAACAUUUCUGAAGUAACUAAUAAAUCAUCUCACAUUUGUUGGAUUCCACAGGAUGAAGAAGUCUGGACAUUUAGUGUUAGGUCAUUUGAAUUGCCUCUCCCAGAACGAACUAUUAAUGUGAUUAUGACGGGUUUGCUGAAGGUAUAUAAGCUGACCUAUUUGUUGAUAUCUUUCGCUGUUAUUGUUCACUGCCAUAAUUUUGCAUCAAAAUCCUACACAGAUGUGAGAGUUGGUGAUGAGCUUCUUGUGGAUGGUGGAAUGGCUCGGUUUGAGGUGAUUGAGAAGUUGGGACCAGAUGUUAAGUGUCGCUGCACGGAUCCUGGUUUAUUGUUGCCACGUGCGAAUCUUACAUUCUGGCGUGAUGGCAGUAUUGUCCGUGAGAGGAAUGCUAUGCUUCCUACAAUUUCAUCAAAGGUAAAUGCAGUAGCAUAAUAAAUUUCUUGCUGCAAUUACCAAAAGACCGCAAAACUUUGUUAAUCUAUGCCCCCCCUUGGUACUAGUAUUGCAAUGGAUUUACAGCUUGUUUUUUCUGUCAAUGCCAUGGUCAGUUCAAAACAACAUGUAUUAGUUCAAAGCCUUACAUUGUGCACUGAAACUCAUCUCUCGAUAGUUUUUGUCAGCUAUUUCUUAAGAAGGCUUCUACCACCUAGAGUUGUUUAACUGAAAAUUUAAUCUUCUAGUAGCAGAUACUAAUAUUUUAAGUUUAUAACAAUGCUGCUCCUUUUCUUGUGACAACUUGUGCAGGAUUGGCUUGACAUAGACUUUGGAAUUGCCGAAGGUGUAGAUUUCAUCGCUGUUUCAUUUGUCAAGUCAGCAGAAGUAAUUAAACAUUUUAAAAGCUACAUAGCUGCAAGGAGCCGUGGCAGGUACCAGGAGUAUAAUUCUGUACUGUUAUUUAAGUUUAUGCUUUCUUGGAAAAGCCAUAUUUGACAUUAUUAAACUGAUAACGGGUGUUCCUAGAACUGUUCUGCAUGCUUAGCCACUGUUUGUGGUUGGUUCCUGGUCAGUCCCAGAUGAUUACUCAUACUGGUAGGGUUUUAGUUGUAUUCUAACCCCCAAAAAAUCAGCCUGGAAUAUAUUGGUUUCUAUGUAGUUACUAGAGAAAACAGUGAAUCAACAAGAUAUCCCCUUUCUGGUGUUCCUCCUUUUCUAAAUAAUGCUGUGGAACAACAUGAUUCACGGAAGAAUAAUAAGAACUGUUUAAAAUUGUAUGGCUUGCCUCAACCUGGUGUCUUCUCUGUGCCAAAAAAACAACACUUGGUGUCAGGUGUCAUCUCAGCACCUACAAUUCAUCUGCAUGCACUAGAAAAAUUGUGUGUGUGUAGCUCCUGCCAAAAUUGCCAGUUUGCCAUUGUACGUCCAUCUCAUGUUUUGUGGCUAAAACUCAGUUAGUGACACAAAAAGUUACCUAGAUUAAAAUCGCUAAUCCCAAACCGCAAGUGAUAUCAAUCUUGCUAUGUUAUCUUUUAUACUUCAAUUAAUUGGGCCUUGCAAACAUCCAAAUCAGAAAGGAUUGCUAGUACCGUGUUUCUGAAAUGUUUCCUUCAUUUUGCUGAACUUUAUAGGUUCCUUACUCUAAUAAUGCUUUAUUUUAUAUGAUCAGUGAUAAGCAGUCAUUGCGAAAAUUGAGAGCAUUGACUCUUUAAAGAACCUGGAGGAGAUCAUCCGAGCAUCAGAUGGUGCCAUGGUAGCCACUCUGGAUAUGGGGGCACAGGUUCCCUUGGAGCAGGUCCCCUCAAUACAAUAAAAGAUAGUUCAACUGUGCAGGCAGCUCAACAAGCCAGUCAUUGUUGCUUCUCAGCUCCUUGAAUCAAUGGUCGAGUAUCCUACUCCCACAAGGGCCGAAGUUGCCGAUGUUUCUGAAGCUGUCCGCGCCAGCGUGCGGAUGCUCUAAUGCUUUCUGGUGAGUCAGCAAUGGGAAGAUAUCCAGAGAAGGCUCUUAGUGUUCUGAGGAGCGUUAGCCUCAGGAUUGAGAAGUGGUGGCGGGAGGAGAAGCGACAUGAGGCACUGGAACUUCAAGGUGUUUCAUCUUCAUUCUCUGACAAGAUAUCAGAAGAAAUCUGCAACUCGGCAGCUAAAAUGGGUAAGUACUGCCACCAUCGUAUUCAGUGCAUACCAUAGUUAUGUUGUCAUAGCAACUGAUAUAGCAGCUGACGCCAUCUUUGUUUUCACAAAGACUGGCCACAUGGCCUCCUUGCUCUCACAGUGCCGUCCUGACUGCCCAGUUUUCGCCUUCACAACAUCGACGUCCGUCAGGAGGCGGCUAAACCGUCAGUGGGGCCUCAUCCCAUUCCGCCUCAGCUUAGCAACUGAUAUAUUCAAUUGCUUUGCUGUCUCAUCUUCCUAUUAUUGUCCAUUAUCUUGGUUACUGACAGAACAUUUAGAUUCCAUUUUCUUAGAAGCUGUGUCUAAACAAAACCAAUUUCAUCUGCAGCUAACGGCCUGGGAGCUGACGCCGUCUUUGUUUUCACAAAGACUGGCCACAUGGCCUCCUUGCUCUCACGGUGCUGUCCUGACUGCCCAGUUUUCGCCUUCACAACGUCGACGUCCGUCAGGAGGCGGCUAAACCUUCAGUGGGGCCUCAUCCCAUUCCGCCUCAGCUUCUCAGACGACAUGGAGAGCAACCUGAACCGCACCUUCUCCCUGCUAAAGGCCAGGGGCAUGAUCCAGUCUGGCGACCUGGUGAUCGCCCUCUCUGACAUGCUGCAGUCCAUCCAGGUGAUGAACGUACCCUAAGAAAGAGCCUAAUCCUCUGUGGGAUGAUCAUAUGAGAUGGAAGAUGGACCAUGAACUUUAUCGGCACCUUGAAGGACAGUUCCUUGCACCAAAAUUAUUCGCUUUCACCCUGUAUUAGAUGCUGGGCAGGACUAGAGAACUGUGGCAAUAAUUUGCAGCUUUGUGCCCUGCUGUAAAACUGUUAUAUUACUAUUAGCUUUAUUUAUAGUCUGACCUUGGGGUGACUCUUUAAUGUGCAAGCUUUGGGUCUUGCUGUGGGCCGUAAUGGGCUUAUAAGUGAAGCGCAGGGAGAAGAGGAAGAACCCGCUGAAGAACAUGGCUGCUGUGCUCAAGCUCAACCCCUACCUCGGCACUGCCCGCAAGAUGGCUACCCUCGCUAAGGUUGCCCACAUCAAGGCAAGGAAGGAGAAGCUCGAAUCCAAGAGGACCAAGCUUAGCCCGGUAUGACCAUUUUUCUCCCUCCAUUUCAUUUCUGAUUAUGUCAAUAAUACCUGAAUUGAUCACUUAGAUUGCACAUGUAGUUCUGGUGUACUGUUUAUGACUUGUAGUGUUUGCUAUGGUACAUUUUCUGCCCCUUGUAUGAAUGGUUUAAUUUGUUUGAUGUAUCAUAAUUUGAGCAAAUUUCAUUGCUUGAAAGUAUUAGUACUGGAGUUCUGUGUGAAUAACAUGAUUCUGCUGUAGUGAUUCUUGUUGUUGUUUAGUUAUGUGCAUUGAUCUAAUGUUGUGCCAACAAAUAUUCUUGUAAUUGCGCGUUUGUGCUGUAUCAGUAUGCAUGGGUAAUCUAGUUUGUCAUUGUUUACUAUUUGCUCAGGGUGUUUCGGUACCCUUAAUUGCUUUUAGUAAGGCAUUUGUCUAUGUUCUGUUCCAUUUCUUUAUAUGCUAGUAGAUAUCUGAGCAAUUGUUUGUUCUACUCUUUUCUUAGAAAUGAUUUAUGGUACUGGAAGCUUCGGUAAUCUUUGCAUAUAUGGCAUAUGACAUGCCCUGGUAACUCAUGGGUCAGGGUUUAUCUUGAAUGUUUUAGUUCGAUCCCUCUUGUUGAUUUGUGUUCUGAAUUGGUAACUUGGGACUAUGCCUUGUUAGAAUGUGAUGAAUAGAUUGAUGUUUUACUAAGCGUUUUGAUUACAGAAUACUAGAAUGAAUGUUAUUACAUUAUCCAUGUUUCGAACUGAAUCCCAAAAUUUACUGAAUCCCUUCACAUCCAUAUAUCUCCUGAAUAUUUGUUUAACUGUAUAGUUUGAUAUGUUUACAUUGUUGUCAAGAUUCUUUGUUGCAUGCCCAUAUAUCUUCUGAACACUACAGAACUGACCAAUAUGUGAACUACUGUUGGUUUAAUGUAUCAGAUGCUGAUUAUUUCGUUCAGCUGUAUGCCCUUUUGUCAACAAACACGUACUGAACAAUAUCUGUAGAUCCAUUGUUGUAGGAGGAGGCUGCCAAGGUCAAGGCUGCUGGAAAGGCAUGGCACAGGACCAUGAUCUCAGACAGCGACUACACCGAGUUUGAGAACUUCUCAAAGUGGCUCGGCGUGACUCAGUGAGCGGGUGCUAUCUAGUUAAGUUUUGAGUAGUAGUGUGGCUGAACUUAUCUCGAGAGGGUUUAUCACUUUGUUUUAUCCUGCAUCAUCAUAAGAAUUCAAUCUGUGGGAUUUUAAGACAAGUCUUCCUUUUUGUUAAUGCGUUGCUGUGAAAUCAUUCUAGUAAAUAUUCACCUUGACGAUCUUUUGGAAGGACAGCGACCACAAAAAUUAUGAAUUGGGUAGAUGGAGGAUUUAUGUGCUGUAUUGAGAGAGCCCGUAGGUGCUAGAUUUCUCCGGAAACGUUCGAUUUAAGCUUGUAGAUAUUGUGAUGAAUCCCGUCACCAUUUUCCCAUGAAACAUUCUGAAAGUUCUGGUAGUGGUAUCCACUGCUGCAGUUUUACAAGCAUGUAGGGUUGUUCCUCUGUUUGUUGAUUAGGUAUUAUGUUUUGCACAGUCUUAAAGUUUAGAAGGUAAUUACCCAGGUGUUCAAGUAUACCUUCAAGUUUUUUUUUACACAGUGUACAUAUUACCUUGUUAUAGUGAGAACAGAGAAGUCCACCGCAAAAGUAAAGCCCAGCAUAUAUUGUUCUUGCAAUAGACCAUGUGUGUAUAUGCCCCUUUGUAGGUUGAUUAUUCCAUUCAGAACAUAGCAUGGACCUCUAUAGUGUUUUGGAUAAAUUUUUUUAUUAUAAAGGUACUUGCCGAGGCACCAAUUUGGGAGUCUGCGGGGUAAAAUGUUCCCGGCGUACUUCAUAUUGAUAUCAGUGUGUUCAGCGAUAUCUGUUGCAGCAUUUGCAUACCUGCAUGGAUUCCUUCUUUCGGCCCUUAUCUGUAACCUUUCAAACCUUCUGGUCAUCACACCUAUGAUGGUUGAAGUAAAAUACUUUGUUUGUGGCCUUGAGCUUUUUACUACCUCUCGUUUUGCAUUUGCCAGAUGCUAGUGUGCUAGUUAUACAGAAUAUCACAAAAUUAUAGUUUGAGUAUGUGAUAAUAUCGGUACUAAUGAAUGGAAUCUUACACUUUUGAUAUGCAAUUUUGAGAUUUACUUUGCUGAUGGUAGUAGAGGUAUGUAAAGCAAAAGAAAGUUACUUUUAAAUUAUUAGUUAUAUGGUUAUAUUUUAUAGGUCAGCGAUUUCUGAGUACUAGUCAUAGCAGCGCUCACAGGAAUAUACUGACUUGUUCUUUAUUUUAUUUUCAAGAAUUAAUACAGAUAGCAUAAAGCAGAAUCCAGUCCAUGAAUAGUUAGCGAUCUAGCAUCUGGAGGUGAAAAUCUAGCUUGGUUAGAACUUAGAAGCAUAGUUGUGGAUAAAAUUUGUGGGAAUCUAAUUUGACAAAACAAGUAGACAUGUCUGGCUGCAUAUAUGAACCUUUCAAACUGCAUCUUAUUGUUUCUGAGAUCUGAUUGGUGUUUUUUCCACAUUUGCAUUGUAGCACACAUCACUUGGAUAUUGUUUUAGAGAGCAAACUUGACAAUCGAGAUAUCUUGAUUGCUGAAAUCGAUGCUGACAAUGUUCUGUUAUUUGAGUAGGAUAGGGGUUAUACAUAAAAAAAAUAAGAAGAGAGAAUGUGCCUUGCAGGCUUGUACUUUGGUUGGUUGAGCAUUGCUCUUUGUAGUUUGCGCUUUAAUUUUCACCUGUGCCUAUUGAAUUGCUCUCUUUCACCUAGAUGAUGAUGAAGAGGUACAAGAUAGAAGGACCUCGUGAGGCCGGGUACUCCAAGAAUGAGGAGAUGGCCAAGAGGAACCCUGCCCUGGCGGCAAUCAGUCAGAAGUUCAGGAUGAUCCACGUGCUGUCGUCACUGGCCAGCCCCAUGUCCUUCGGCAGCCUGGCCAUCCACUCCUGAUACCUCCCCAGCAAGCUCGACCCGUGACUGCCUGACCGAGUGUUAGCUGGUGCCUGGUGAGUGGUGACCUACGAACUCUGAACUUAGCCUAGGUUUCUGUGGAGAAAAAAGAAGUCAUGUCUGUGCAAGAACAUUGGUCCUCGGGAUGAUAUGAUUAGCCUUUAAUAAUGUACAUAAUGCAGGAAGUUCGUUUCAUUUUGUAAUUUGUGUAUAGGAAAUGUGUCUGUGGCAAAUUCCUGAUAUUUUACAGUCAAGAAAUGCAGCUAAACAUGGUCUCUCGGCUCAUGGAGCUUGGGUACAAAGAAAUGACUAGGAUCUUCUGGAACUUUUAGAAUGCCUACUAUCUGAAAAAAAAAUAUUGGCCAGAGAUGACGAGUUUGGUAUGCAUUCCUGAACACUGGUUUCUCUUGUCUGGUGGUCCAAAACCAUAUGGCGUUCCUUCAUCUAGGCCAAAUCUAUUAUAUUCACUUUCUGAAGAUAAUAUCCAGUGAAGCCAAGCCGAAGUCUAGAAAACAAGUCCACAUUGCAAACUGAAGAAUUUAGCAUAUGGAACUCCAUGCUCUAGUCUUUCAUCCUUCUUCAAGCUGAAGUCCUUGAUUUUGAUCACAAAACAAGUCCCAGACUGCAAGUUGAAGAAUAUAUAGCAUAUUGAUCGAGCUCCAUGCUCCAGCUUUUUAUCCUUAUAUUUUCUUUUGAACUAUGGCGUGUUUGAACUCUGUGUCCGCUCCAGCGUAAGCAAAACACAUACACAGCUAGCACUUUCAUUUCAUGACGUGUUUGUCUACAUUACUGCAGAAGUACUUGCCAUAGAAUAGGUCAACAAUCCAACAUACUACUACUCAUGUUGUUGUUCGACAAGCUGUCUAAGCUGCUGCUUGAAUACGAACUGAAAGUGCUGAACUUUGUCCAUGUUAUGUUGGUAGUAUAUCUAAUACUGAACGGUGUGCAGGGUGAUCCUGCAAGGCUUUUAGAUAGCACGGUCUUGUGCAGAGGUUACGUCUGCUCUGUUUCUUCAAAGUUACGUCUGCUCUGUUUCUUCAAAGUUACGUCUUGCAAUUGCCGUAACAUUUCUGCUGGUAAUUCUGUAAUCUCUACUAUAAAAAAAGCAAAGAGGACACAAAAAUGCGGUCCGUCGUUUGGCCGCCGGGCGAUGUCCCUCGCUCCAGACAUUUUGGGCCGUCCGCUUGCAGCACCCUCCGCGCGCAGCCGUUGAUUUGGAGAUUCCGUGAGUUGCGGUGCACGCGCUUCCUCCUCUGUCCGUUUCCCUCCGCGCGGAUCCCUUCCUCCUGCGGUCCUGCCCAUGCGUCGCCAUCCGCCGCCGACGCAACUCCCUCAGUCGCGCCGCCUGCCGCCGCCGCCGCCACUCCCUCCGUCGCCGCAACUUCUCCCUCCCUGCGUCGCCAUCCGCCGCCGCCCCUCCCUUUCUUCACCUCCGCGCCGCCAGAAACCCCCGUCCCUGCCUGCGUCGCCAUCCGCCACCGCCCCUCCCUUUCCUCGCCUCCGCGCCGCCGGAAGCCACCGCCCCUCCCUUUCCUCGCCUCCGCGCCACCAGAAGUCACCGCCCCAUCUUGAGUCGCCUCAUCGCCGCAAGCGACUCCGCCCCUCCCUGAGUCGACGGAACACCAACAGUCGAGGCUACGCUGCACGCCAACUAGAUUUCUCAGUUCGUUGGGUUUGAUCACGGUACCUCUCAGUUUCUUAGUUUGUCGUGCAUCUGAACUUUGUGUGACGUUCAUGUUCUUGUCAUUUGAUUUGUUUGGUCGGUGUUCAUGUUCUUAGAAUCUGGUGCUACGUGACAUUAUAGGCGGUGUUGUGUUUUCUGAAUUGUCGGCGACUUGAAAAUUUGAGAUUCAGAUCGUGAUUUGUUUAGGUGGACAAUUAAAAUUUGAUGAUAUGUCCUUCCCGAGAGCGAAUUGCGCGCGCACAGCGGCGGCAAUGGCACCGCCGCGUUCGCACCUGCUGCCCGCCUUGCUCGUCCUGAAUUGUCGGCGACUUGAAAAUUUGAGAUUCAGAUCGUGAUUUGUUUAGGUGGACAAUUAAAAUUUGAUGAUAUGUCCUUCCCGAGAGCGAAACGUAUUAACUGUGGUAAUUGAGGAUGGUAGAGAUAAUUUACUCUGCAUGUAAACUGAGGACUGAGAUUCAAGAGUAAUCAUAGAACACGUAGACCACAUUGACUGGAAAAUUAGUCCUCUCCAAUUUUUGCUGAUCUGUCCCUGAUAGUACAUAAUUAUUUUGCCACUUUUUGUGCAAGCUUAUCGAUGUACGAAUUCAUAAUGGAAAGUAAGGAUUGCGAUAGUAGGGAUUGGGAUAUUUGUUAUGCUUAUCGAUGCUUAUGGCAAUGCUUCAUAAAAGUAGUAUACACCGCCGUGCACUUCGAAUUCAUGAUGGACAGUAGGGAUUGUGAUAUGUGAUAUGCUUAAGGCAAUGCUUCAUAAAAAGAGUAUGCACCUCCGAGCACUUCAAGUGUACUCUGAUGCACACACAAGCACACAGUUCUAGAUGGUUAAGCCGGUCUGUGAUUAGCAAGAUUUUCAUGAGAAUGGUAUCAGUUAUCAGACAUUCUGUGAUAUCUUGAAUGGAAAAAUAAAAUCAAAAAGGAAAGCACGAUAAAUAGAUAAUUUUUCUUGAAUUCUCCCAUAUUCAGAAAAUUGACUGACCGAGUGUGGAUAACUCCUUUUUUUUGUUACUUGGACCUCAGUUGGCCUUUAUAUUACUCUGAAUAUGUAAGAUUUCAAUAAACAGUAAAUUUGAGGAGGAUUUGCUAUCAUCUUUUGAAUCGUUCAUCCCGGUGGCAGAUUUCUUGAUUGCCUUAAUUGGGGCUGCCCCAGUUAAUGAGAACUAAAUAGCUCUCAUGAUGAAAACAAGUGUUAUUCAUAACAGCUACUUGUAGUGAUGGUGUCUGGCAGAGUACCUUGCUUAUCCAGUGCUUUCCUGUGACAUUCCAUUUUGCUUUUCUCUUGAAGGGUGUUUAUGUUCGUCGGGUUGUGCCUACUGCUCCAGCAAGCAGUGUUUUGUGAAAGGUAACAUGUAGUAAUUAGAUCCAGUUCACAUAUUGAAUACCUUUGGUUGUCCUCCAAUUUUUGCUGAUCUAUCCCACAUAAUUUUUCUUCUUUUUUCCACACAAUUUUUCUUCUUCUUGCCACAUAAUUUUUGCGGCUACCAUGUUUGACAAUAAAAAUUGGUAUACAGUCAUCUACAAAAAUCAUCCCCUGGAUACAAAUAGUACAUCCCCCUGGUACAAAUAGUACAUCCCCCUGGUUAGCAAUUUUGCAGAUGUAGAAGUACAGUUCCAUUACCGGUUAACCACUAUCUACGUUUUUAUUUUCACUAGGAGUUACAUUAAAAUAAUUCAUUCAUAUGUUCUGUAUAAAGGAAUAGACAAAAAUGGCACCACUUUGUUUUACCUAUGUACAAAUAACUGUCUGAUUGGAUAUUACAACAACAAACAAGAAAAGGCUUCAUGAUCAUUUGAAUUAGAACUACAACCUAAAAAAUAAAUGAUCUGUCCAGUUAUUAAUAUUCUGGUUUCAUACUGCAAAAUAGAAAAGUGAUUAAAACAAGUCCAAGUAAUCUGUCCUGCUGCACUUUCUUAUCUAUAAUCCUGAUGCCAAUUUGUUUCAUGUGCCUGGAAGUGAUGGGAGAAGGUGCAGGAGAAGGAUUUAGAAGUUCUUAAUUUGCAGGUGCAAUUUUUUUAUGUGACGCAUCUAUGUGACGCUUGACUUAUCUUAUUUCCAAAAUCUAACACUUCAUACUCGUGCUAAUGAUUAGAACCUGAUGAUUGGGAAGCUGAUGAGGAUGUCGAUCUCGAGACAGCUAAUGAAGAUUCCAACAAACCCGAUGUACCGGAUCCAAACGAUGCGGUUUAUGCCAAUGUCCCUGACGAGACACACAUGCUCAAGCUAGAGGAUAACUGCAAGCACUGCAAUGCAAAGAAGUUUGAGUCCGAGCCACCUGGAUUCUGUUGUCAUAGUGGAAAGAUUCAUCUUUCCACCCCUGAGACACCACCGGAACUCGUGAGACUGUGGUUGAGCUCGGACGCUGAUGCUAGGCAUUUCCGUGCAAACAUCAGAUAUUUCAAUGAACACUUCUCUUUCACUUCUCUGCACUGUAAACUUGAUCGUGUGACCACCGACAUGACAAACUGUGGAAUUUACACAUUUCGUGCCCAUGACCAAAUCUACCAUAACAUAUGAUCAUUUGGUAAAGAGGAUGGUCACGAACCUGGACACCUCGAGCUUUAUUUUUACGACGUCGAUCUGUCUCUUGAGCAUAGGCUCCGCAAGUGCCGUGAGAAGUCUGCCCAAUACAUGGCAUUAAUCCCUGCUUAGAGAAUCUUAGGAGUAUAGGCCAGGUUGACAACCUUGAGGAUUACUCUGUCGAGUUGAACCUUGACCAACGGCUAGACCAGAGAACAUAUAAUGUGCCAUUAACGUCGUUGCUGCCGUUUGGAUUGAGGGGAGCGAGCGUCGGGUCCAGUUCGAUAAUAGUGCUGUCCUCCAAAGGAAGGAUAGGUCGAUCCAUGGUAUUCGGCCCUAUCGUGUGUGCUACGAUGCUCUCUCAUACCUGCUAUUCUUUCCAAGAGGUGAGCUCGGGUGGCACAACUGCAUUCCAAAAGUUGGUGUGACUGAGGUUGAAGUAAAUAAAGCUCGAGCGAUCUGCAAGGCGCGUGCUGAUGGUGGUGGCGACAAUGAUGCUGGUAAAUUCAUAUGUCAUUAUAGUGUCUUACAAACAUUAGACAAAAUUUCCGCAUGUCGUCAAUCACGGCCGCCUUUUUUUGGUUCGUCGUUUGGCUUCGUUUGUCUGCCACGCCGCUCAGUUUUUCACAAGAACAGUCCGUCUCCCCGCCCACGUUCGCCGACAGACGCACCUCACCUCCUCCGUGCUGAACCCGGCCGCACCUCCUCCAUCCGCCCUCCGCCACUUAGCCAAGCCGUGCCUCACCUCCUCUGUCCUCCGAGCGCGGAACCACGCCUGCGCUUUCCCCGCCUGGCCGCACCUCCUACCUGCUACGCUCGGCCGCAGCUCCUCUGUUCGCCGCCAAGCCGGGCCACCUCCGUCCGCUGGGCGUCCAACACCGGCGCGCCACUGCCCAGCUACCCCUCCACACCCCUCCACACCGGCGCCAUCCCCGGCUGCUCCUCCAUGAAGGGAUCUCCAAGUUAGUCCCAUAUGCAGCGGAGGUGAGAAGAUGGAGGCACGAGAGGUGGGGCCUAUGUCGAGCCCGGUGUCAUCUGCCUUCAUGAAGGGAUCUCCAGGUUAGUCCCUUAUGCAUGCAAACAAAUCUAAUCAGCAGCCUCUCCUUUGCACCAACGAACAGAUCCAAUUGUUCUUGAAAAUCAGGUCCAAGUUCACAUCUCUUUUGCCCUCCCACUCAAAGCACAAUCAGCCAGCGCGACAGGGAUGGCGACACAGACACCGACGGCUGGAGCUCCCUCAAUGCUGCCAGGUAAUUGACUAGCCAAUUACUAUUUGGAUGUGAUGCACAUUGGUCACGGAUUUGUAAAUCUAUCAGUUCCUGCUUCCUGCAUCCAUUUGUGCAGUUCUUGUGGUGGAUGCAGUGCACUGAGUAUAGAAAUUAUUUUUGAUUACUUCUGUGAAACGUUUUGGCCUUGGCAAGUAUGUACAGAUUUAGUUGUUGUUUUUUCAGUCAGAGGUGAGCUACGUGUAUGGGAAAGAAACACUUGAUUGCUUGUUCUAGAUCUUGCCUUCAUAUAAACUGUGAUGCUAUCAACAUGGAGAUUUGAUGCUUUCUACUCUCUCUAUUUAACAUGGAAAAGAACUCGUGUUUACUCAAUAAUGCUUAUGAAUUUUCCUUAGAGUUGCAUUUAUUCAUCAUUCUAAAGUAUUCCGUGUCAAGUAAACUCAUACUUCUAAUUUUUCAAAAAAAAAAUCUGAAAUCAAUGAACCCCUCCUUCCUUGUGAAAUUGUUGUACCUUUUUCCUUAUGACAUCUUAUCUACUUCCACUUUCCUGGUGCAGAAUUUUUGAAAGUAGGAAACGUAAGCAAUGACAGUGACAGUCGCAGCAAUACUGAGCUCAAUAGGUGAACUAGACAAACCAUUCUGCUGUAGUUCAUUUUAUCACUGCAGUCAUCAUCAGACAAUGAGGUCAGAACCAGCAGGUUCGCAGAGUGACUUGUGACUUGUGGAUAAUCCUGCAGAUUCAACAAUGGUAAAGUAACGAAUGGUUAAGGUAUAAGUAGAUUUACUCAAUUAUACUCCAAUAGCUAAUGCAUUGCAUAUAUUGCUUGGCCGUGUAUAUAAAUAUUACAUCACUGUUCAACAUAAGUAAAUAGCUUAGUCCUUCUUAAGUCCAUUUUGGUAAAAGCUAUAGUUCAAUUAGUUUUCUUGAUUUUCUUAAAAUUUUACUCAGUUUGUGCCUUAUGUUGUACAUUUGCCUCACGGGCUGGCUAACUGACCUACAUGAGGCUGGCUAACUGAUCUGGAGGUUCACUAUCUAUGUUCUUUCAUUUCAUUGUCAAACAUAGAUAUUCUGAAUCUGAAAGUCUGUUGAAAUUUCCUAUGGAGUCUUGUGGUACCUUUAGUGUUUCUUAUCAUGUCCAGUAGAAGGUCUUGGAAAACAUAUUUGCAAUACAUGAUAUUUUUUAAAUCAAAAGUAGUAAUAUGCUGUGUAAUUGCCUUCUUGCCUCCUGACAUGUGGCAAAUUCAUUGAGCGUUUUCACUUACAUCGCUGGCAUAUUCAGUGAACAACGCAAAGAUGAUGGUUUUGAGUGAGCGGUCCUUUGGUCAAGGUAAUUUUAGAGCAUUGAUUUUCAAUGUACUUGUAAAGCCAAGAGAAAGUUGAGCAGGGCACAUUCAGUUGUUAACUGGACUGUUGGCUUGCUGCUAUGGAAACAUGUUUUCAGCCUUAUUACUUGCCGAGUUUACAUUGGGAUCUGAAAACUGGACUGUGUGCCAUUAGUUUUGUCUGUCUCCAGGACAUUGCCCAUGCACAUGAACUGACUGAUUACCAUGAAAAUUCACCUGUUUCAGUUCCAAACUAAUUAUUGCUUCAAGGUCACAAAGCUAUAUGAAAAUCUGUAUCCAAUUGAAUGCCAGAACUCUCUAGGAUGAUGUCAGGCAUUCCCAUUUAUAGGUUAACCUGAAGUGAUUCUUGAAGAUUAGUUUCUGCGUGGUUGAUUUGAAUUGUUUGUAAUAUUGUAUGCUUCAUCUUGAUUACUAUCAAUUUCACAGGUCAUGUUCAUUGUGAGGAAUGGAGCGCAAUAAUGCUUUGUGGUAACUCUGGGCAGACGAAAAUAGGCCACCUCUCCCAUUUUCUUGAUAUUUAUUUUCUGAUAUCUGACUAUUGUAUUUGUCGUGAAAUUUAAAUUGUAGACGCUAACAGAUCAUGUGUCACCUCAUGCUUUGAUCAUGUGAAAAAAUUCAGUGUAUUUACCCAUGAUCGGUGCCUUGCCCCGAGGGGUCUUUAAUUCCUGAAUUAGGCAACGGUGAAUUUUCUUCUUAAUAUAUAGAUGCACAGCUCUCCCGCAUGUUCGAGAAAAAUGAGGCAACAGUGACACAGCGCUGGUAGAAAGUAGAAAGUGAAGAAGCGGUUUGAGCAUAUUGCUACUGACAGCUAC